rnacentral:rRNA from 1 species
GAGUUUGAUCUUGGCUCCAGAUUGAACGCUGGCGGCCAGGCCGUAACACAUGCAAGUCGAGCGGAUGACGGGAGCUUGCUCCUUGAUUCAGCGGCGGACGGGUGAGUAAUGCCUAGGAAUCUGCCUGGUAGUGGGGGACAACGUUUCGAAAGGAACGCUAAUACCGCAUACGUCCUACGGGAGAAAGCAGGGGACCUUCGGGGCCUUGCGCUAUCAGAUGAGCCUAGGUCGGACUUAGCUAGUUGGUGGGGUAAAUGGCCCACCAAGGCGACCGAUCCGUAACUGGUCUGAGAGGAUGAUCAGUCACACUGGAACUGAGACACGGUCCAGACUCCUACGGGAGGCAGCAGUGGGGAAUAUUGGACAAUGGGCGAAAGCCUGAUCCAGCCAUGCCGCGUGUGUGAAGAAGGUCUUCGGAUUGUAAAGCACUUUAAGUU